rnacentral:rRNA from 1 species
GUCCACGCCGUAAACGAUGAAUACUAGUUGUGGGAGGUAUCGACUCCUUCCGUGACGACGUUAACACAUUAAGUAUUCCGCCUGGGGAGUACGGCCGCAAGGUUGAAACUCAAAGAAAUUGACGGGGACCCGCACAAGCAGCGGAGCAUGUGGUUUAAUUCGACGCAACGCGAAAAACCUUACCAGGGUUUGACAUCCUUUGAUCGUCCAAGAGAUUGGAUUUCCCUUCGGGGCAGAGAGACAGGUGGUGCAUGGUUGUCGU